UUUUUUAUUUGUGAGAAAUUGAAAGCCCCUAAAUUGCUUUCAGCAAAGUAAACAAAACUUGGAAAAAAAUAUAUGCUCAUUCACCAACAGUUUCUAAUCUGGGGUCUAAAGUGCUCAGGCUUGCUAGUGUAUUUGGUUAUUUGUCUAUCCUAGCCUGUUGCAGUGUAUAUUUCCUGUGUAUUUUGCAUGUUAAAUGUUUUGUUAUGUCAUUGCUUAAUAUUAUCAUGUAGUCUUCAUGAACUUUUUUAACCCGACUUAAUGGCUUUCUUCAUCUUGGCCAGGGACUGCAUUUUAAAAGUAGCCACUUGACUAAAAUUGGCACAUUUUCAGAAAUGCCAGCAACAAUACUGAUAAUGAACACCCCUCUAACUGACUCUCAGUUGGUUUAGAAAAAAUACUUUUAAGAGAAAAGAAAGCCUUCCUUUGGUUUUGCAUUUUUCUCUUUUUUGUUAGCUGUGCACAACAUAUCAGAAGGAUUACUUAACACGCACAAUGAUGAUUGCAUAUGUUCACAGUAAAUUUUUGAAAAAGUUUUUAUUUAAAAAAAUAUACAAGAAAAAAUCUAUCAAGGCAAAAGAAAGACAAGAAACCUUUGGAAAGUUCUCAAAGGGGAUUCCUCUCUAACCCCUUUAAAUGCAUCUAGACAUUGGCUGUGAUUUCAUUUCAUUUAAAAUAUAAAUAAUAUUUUAUACUUUAUAGACCGGGAGCCCAGAGAGGUCAGCCUAGCUGAAAAGCGAAGCUUUGGGAAGGUCAAGGGAUAGCAUCAUGAUACAUGUUUCUACUUCCUGCAGGGACAUAGGAAUAGGGGUCAUUCUAUGGCCUUAUUUUGGAAAUAGCUAAGUGAUUUCUUGUAAAAAGGGAUUGAAAUUUAACAAAUCCUCAUACUUAACAGGAAGCAGAGUACACUUGUCUAACCUAGCUGUUAACCCAUAUGAUUGUGUUUACCCGUUAAGAUCCUGAUGAGGGGGCGGGCUAGUUUCAUUCAGUUCGGAUAUCUAUAUCAGCUGAUCUAGCUCAAAUUUUGGUGUGUCUGUCAGGGUAACCCACCACAGGAACUGUCUGGCAAUGUUCAUUCAUGAUACCUAGGCUGAUACUGAACAAAUUCCAGCUAGUUUCAUUCAGUUCGGAUGUAAGCUGAUUUAGCUCAGUUUUGGGUGUGGUCUUUUUGGGCAUGUCUGGCAGGGGUAACCCACCACAGGAACUGUCUAGCAAUGUUCAUUCAUGAUACCUAGGCUGAUACUGAACAAAUUCCAGCUAGUUUCAUUCAGUUCGGAUGUAAGCUGAUUUAGCUCAGUUUUGGGUGUGGUCUUUUUGGGCAUGUCUGGCAGGGGUAACCCACCACAGAAACUGUCUGGCAAUGUUCAUUCAUGAUACCUAGGCUGAUACUGAACAAAUUCCAGCUAGUUUCAUUCAGUUCGGAUGUAAGCUGAUUUAGCUCAGUUUUGGGUGUGGUCUUUUUGGGCAUGUCUGGCAGGGGUAACCCACCACAGAAACUGUCUGGCAAUGUUCAUUCAUGAUACCUGGGUUGAUACUGAACAAGUUCCAACUAGUUUCAUUUGGUUCGGAUAUCAGCUGAUCUAGCUCAAUCUUUGCAGGGUAGUUACAUAACUCUGCCAAGGGUACCCCACCACUAAAAAUGUCUGGCGGUGCCUGUUUAUAAGUCCUGAUUGUAUAAGGUACAUUGAAGCACCAUUUUCAAGAAGUACAUUUUUGAGCUGACCUAGCUCAAUAAUUUGAAUUAAUUUCCACACCCCUCACAGCCACACCCACCACCACGGACCCGGCAGACAUCCAUUCUGAUGAACUGUCAUAUGCCUCCAGCAAAAUUACACUAAGGGAAAUUGGUUCGCUUUUCAGCUAGGCUGACCCCUCUGGGCUCCCGGUCUAUUAUUGCUUCACAGAUACAACAUUGUGAUAUUUGGAGGAGUGGAUGGUUUUUCAAGAAAGGUACCUGACUUAGUAAUAUCUUAGUAAUUUCACAUGCUGUGCACUGGCUAUAUAAACGUUGUGUACUCUGUAAAAACAUUUAGAAGCUUUAGUAAUAAUCAUCAAUUUCAGCCCACUAAUAACUUUGUAGUACAUUUUGUCUUUCUGUACUUUAACUGGACAUUUUCAUGUUGUUAUGCCCCAAGCUAACAGGAAAGCAACAGUAGAGGGCUGCACAACAUGAGGAGGCAGAGGCUAAUUAUGUCAAAGGACUGAAAAGGAGGGCAAAUUUAGCAAUAACAUACAAAUAAUCAACCAGCUACCCUCUUUCUUUGACCACUGUUCUCUUGUUACACACAUACACCUUUGAUGCCUUUUAAUUGCUUUAAACUUUACUUUUGUAGAUAUUGUACUUGAAUGUGGCCACAAACACCUGUGCAUCAACUGCAUUUCAGUUCUUCCUGGAUGCAACGCAGCGACAUGGCUUACCCUCAAGGAUUUGGCAGACGCCCUUAGCCAGAGCGACUUACAUACAAUAUAACUUCUUUGAGGGUAGUGUUGAUGUAUCUAAGAGGUUACAGAGCCCGUGAUUUCAGGGUAAGAGCUGACCAGGGAGUGGAGAAUGUGGACAUCGCCCGGUUUAUGUUCACUGUCCGUGGCAAUGAUCAGAACAGCUUCAUCUCAGGAAAAAGUGUGCACAACCAAAGGCUGGAACCACCAUUCACUACGUACUGAGGGAAACUGGAGUCCAGCACAGAUCUGGGAGAUUGCACAAAUGCUAAACACUAAUGUCCAUUCUGAGAACCUUGCAAACCUACAAGAGCCAGACAUCGACUGGGAGACUGUUAUUGACUAUGAUGGCCUUGACUCAGAAACGGGCGUUGUAGUGCCUGAAUAUGAGUGCCCUCUGACUGAGGAGAUGAAUGAAGUUCAAACUUUGGUUGAUCCUACUGACCGAAACAUUACUGAUGAACAUUUACAUUUACAGUAUUUGGCAGACACCCUUAGCCAGAGCGACUUACAUAAGUGCUUUGAGACUCUGCGAUGAAUUUCCGAUGCUAGCUCAAUAAGGUCCCAAGCUACGAAUACCAUCUCUCUGAAAACGACGUUGAGUAGUGCAGAAUUUUUUAUUUAUUUAUUUUAAAAAAAAAAAACACACACCAGAAAAA